rnacentral:rRNA from 1 species
AGUCGAGCGCGCCUUCGGGUGAGCGGCGGACGGGUUAGUAACGCGUGGGAACGUGCCCUUCUCUAAGGAAUAGCCUCUGGAAACGGAGAGUAAUACCUUAUACGCCCUUCGGGGGAAAGAUUUAUCGGAGAAGGAUCGGCCCGCGUUAGAUUAGAUAGUUGGUGGGGUAAUGGCCUACCAAGUCUACGAUCUAUAGCUGGUUUUAGAGGAUGAUCAGCAACACUGGGACUGAGACACGGCCCAGACUCCUACGGGAGGCAGCAGUGGGGAAUCUUAGACAAUGGGCGCAAGCCUGAUCUAGCCAUGCCGCGUGAGUGAAGAAGGUCUUAGGAUCGUAAAGCUCUUUCGCCAGGGAUGAUAAUGACAGUACCUGGUAAAGAAACCCCGGCUAACUCCGUGCCAGCAGCCGCGGUAAUACGGAGGGGGUUAGCGUUGUUCGGAAUUACUGGGCGUAAAGCGCGCGUAGGCGGAUUGGAAAGUUGGGGGUGAAAUCCCAGGGCUCAACCCUGGAACUGCCUCCAAAACUCCCAGUCUUGAGUUCGAGAGAGGUGAGUGGAACUCCGAGUGUAGAGGUGAAAUUCGUAGAUAUUCGGAAGCACACCAGUGGCGAA